GAGUCGGUUAGUCAUCGACACCAUCCAAGCUUUGGGCACUGACUACUGGAACCAAAUCAAACAAAUUGCCACUCAAUUGUUGUUCGCUGGUCAACAAAUCUGGCAACAAGCUACAGUCGUUUUCCAACAAUUGGUCACUGAUUUGCAAAACCACGCCACUGAUGCUUUGCCAUUAGUUGUCCAAGCCAUUGGUCAAUUGACUUCUUUGGUCGGUCAGUCAGGCAAAAGAGAUUUGGUCGACUUUGCUUUGAACUCCUUGGGUUUAAGUCAAGUCAUCGACACCAUCCAAGCUUUGGGCACUGACUACUGGAACCAAAUCAAACAAAUUGCCACUCAAUUGUUGUUCGCUGGUCAACAAAUCUGGCAACAAGCUACAGUCGUUUUCCAACAAUUGGUCACUGAUUUGCAAAACCAC
rnacentral:sRNA from 1 species